CCCACCCCUGACCCCAAGGUGCAUUUCAUCCCUUGUCCUGGUCUGAGCAGUGCUAUGGAGGUGUACAUUCCUAAGUUUCUCCUCAGGUUAUUGCUUGAUACUCUGGGGGCAGCAUGCUGAGUAUCUUGUUUGUGGAAGCUCCUGAGUGUGAAGGUCAUGCAUCAUUUCUUCUCAGCUCCUUCAGGAGACAAGGAACUUCACUGUCCUGCAUGUGGGUAAGUUCCAGCAACUGAAACUGAGAGUGGCCUUUAUUUCCAGUAUGCCCCAGGAAGAUAGCAAAGAGCUCAAGCACUGGAAAUGCACCACUCCUGCAUUAGAUAUCACAGGACCUCUCAUGUUGGAAGGGACCUCCAGAGACUGAGUCAAGCCCCUGCCAGGGCAGGAUCACCGAGGGUAGUUCACAUGGGAGCACAUCCAGUCUUCCUGCAGGUUCAGGAUCAUGGGAGUUCACCUAUAAGGAGUUGCUUUCAAAAGAAAGCUAAAAUAACAAGAUGAGCCUUGAUCUACAUUUAAAUAUCUUUUAAUCCUUUUGGGCAGUGUAUUCCAUAGUCAUAAACCAUCUGCUGCAUAAGCCAGGUUGUCUUCUUACAAGUUUCAAUUUCAUUGUCUGCUUCAUGAGAGUGUUAACAGGGUUUUAUGAAAACGAGGCACUCAUGGAAAGAACCUGUACCCAAACCCUUUGUGCUUUAAAGAUAUGGCCUAGAUUUUU